rnacentral:lncRNA from 1 species
UAUAAUAAAAUAUCUCCUUUAGAUAAUGAUGGCAAAUUUUUAGUCAGCACUACUUUGUAGAAGAGACAUUACCCAGAAUGCUUGACCUUAAAGGGACAAUUCCCUCAAAAGUGAAGAUUUUGUCAUCAUUUUCUUGUCUUUGUGUUGUUCCAAACCUGCGUGACUGCAUGCAUCUCUCAUCUGUGUGAUUUACUGAGUUUGCUGGGCUGUUGUUUACCCAUCAGCACUACUUGCAAUCUUAGCUAAAUCGGGUCAGCUGAUACUGGACAAGGCCAGAUCCUCUCAUGUGGUUUAAAAACCUGAAGCCUUAUUUGCAUCUCUGUUUUGUUUGGAUUUGCAUCUUUUUUGCUACUAUCCAUAGCUAUACUUUCAGAGCACAAAAAGGAGGUUUAUUUGUGAUGUUUUGUAUGCUACACUAGCUGUAUCCUCAACAUUAGCGUCUAUCACCGAGUCAGCAGGAGCCUUCGUCAUUGUGUCCGUCUGAGUGUGACAUUAAAGCGAGAGGUGUGUGAAGGAUCACAGGCAGGUGCUGGAGGGGCCGGUCUCGCUGGUGGAAAUGUAAACACAUGUGUUUACUCUUUCUCUCUCUAUUUCUGUUUGCAGUUCUGCCUGACUGCAUCGCUGAGGCGCCCAGCUUGUAUCUCGGAACGGGUAAAAAGCGGGCGGCCGCAGAAGGGGCCCGCGGGGCCCCGGUCAACAAGAGGAAAUCGCUCCUGAUGAAGCCCCGCCACUACAGUCCUAGUCCCUGCCCCAGCGAGGAAGACCUGGCAAGCGCUCAAGACAAAGACGCGCCCAGGAACACUGACACUCCAGCAGGUAGACAGAUGUCCUGUUGUUUUGUCUGUUUUGAUGAACAAUUGACGCUGAAUUUUAAACUACCAUCUGUUGCAUUCAUUUAUUUGUUUCCCUCCUCCUCCUCCUCCUUCGUCUCCUCUCCCCCUCCCUCCCCGCAUCCGUCUCUUCGUCCAUCCCGGGGAAGUUCACGACAGUCGAUUCCCGUUCGUUUUUUCAUGCAUCCGGUGUCCAGAUUAAGGCGAUUUCCUGCGCUCGGCUUCUUUGAAACCCGGAUUAAAAACUGGCGGCGGCGGGUUGAUUAUGCAGCCUGGAAAAGUGCUUUUUAUAAGCAAGUGUGGUUGCUUGCAUAAUUAUGACAAAGUAGGGUAACUGAGAAUAGAAUGCACGGAAACGUUAAAGUCGAUAUUACGUUUUAAAGCAGUCUCCUUUCUAGAAACAAAAUGCUGCCAUCUCCUAAUGAAUCAAAUUAUGAGCAUGUUGGCAACAAUACCCAUGCUUUACAUGUGUACCUCCACACCCCUAUAAUCUGCACUUAUUUGGUAUAUUUUUAACGAUGUAACCAAGCAACAAACGUAAUUGUCCCUUUCGAAAGCUUUUGUUAGACCAUCGAACACAGCCCAAAUAUACAUAAUUAGGCAUAAUGUGUGCGGCUCAUUAUUGGACACAUGUGGGUUGUUAAAUGGACAACAAAAUAGCUCAAUAAAUUGAACAGCAUCAUUGGAAAUGGAAUUUAUUUGUUUCUCUGAUUUCAUAUUACCCACAAUAAUCAUAACCUUUUUUUCCCCCUCCUCCUUCUUCGAAUUUGUAGUAUUAUUUUCUGAAGUUGCAGUAGGAAAAAAAAAAUCUCAUUUGUCAUAUUUCCCUGCUGUCUUGCAACAUGUUUGCUUUGCGUUUUGCCAAAGUGCACUACUGAAGAAGUGCUGGUGGAAAAGAAAAAAAUUCAAAGACAUAAUGCGCGGGGUGUGACUGGGAGUGGAUGGCGACUGGGACCGUAGUGAAAUUAAUGGAUCUGUAGGGGGACGAGAGGGAUAUGUGAAUUUCAUGAGGAAAAAAAGGGAAAAGCAAAGGCAGGGGAGAAAUUAAAGGGGGUGUAAGGCUUCCAUUUGGUGCUGUUGUGUGUGUGUGUGUGUGUGUGUGUGUGACUCCAGCCAAGCUUCUGGUCUCCAUACACACAAUGGUAAUGGUUAUUCUGGAGUAUAAACCAUUCACCUGUUACCAAAAUACAAACCACUCUCUGCAUCCAAGCUAUUUUUCGCCCUUGUUCGCUCCUAGUUUUUCUUUUUUUUUUUUUUUUGUUUUGUGUGUGUGUGUGUGUGUGUGUGUGUGUGUGUGUGUGUGUGUGUGUGUGACUCCAGCCAAGCUUCUGGUCUCCAUACACACAAUGGUAAUGGUUAUUCUGGAGUAUAAACCAUUCACCUGUUCCAAAACACAAACCACUCUCUGCAUCCAAGCAUUUUUCGCCCUUGUUCGCUCCAGCUUUUUUUUUCGCACUGUUCUGUUUUUUUUUUUUUUUUUUUUUGGUUUUUUUUUUUUUAAAUGAAAUUUAACCACUGUGUCCUCAAUGGUCUAUGGAGAUUCCUAUGUUCAUGGUGCAUCCCAAAACACGACACUUGUAAUGGCUCUUUGGCACUGACAUUGUA